rnacentral:rRNA from 1 species
UACGUAGGGGGCUAGCGUUGUCCGGAAUCAUUGGGCGUAAAGAGCGUGUAGGCGGUCCGGUAAGUCCGCUGUGAAAGUCGGGGGCUCAACCCUCGAAUGCCGGUGGAUACUGUCGGGCUAGAGUGCGGAAGAGGCGAGUGGAAUUCCUGGUGUAGCGGUGAAAUGCGCAGAUAUCAGGAGGAACACCUAUUGCGAAGGCAGCUCACUGGAUCUUUUCUGACGCUGAGGCACGAAAGCUAGGGUAGCGAACGGG